AAUUGCAACCGGGCGUAUAAGCACCGCUGGCACGGUGAAGAAAUCGCAUUUUCCUGGUGCCGCAUUGUAAGUACUAGUGCCCCUGCAAAAUUUUGAUCCGCGUGCACCGUUCUGGCUGUUUCCGACCUAGAACCAGAGUCAUUCUCAACAUGCACUGAACAAUGUGCCUAUGGACAGGCGAGCUUCGAAAUACUGCUUGGCUAUGUGGUCAGUCUCCUGUGGCGUCCCCGCUGUCCUGGGUUUUCAUUGAGACUACCGGGAGUGCCUUCUCCGAGUCCAAGCAACAAUGAAGCCCUGCACUUCAUAGACGAUCCAAACCUACACCCACCUGGUACGCAGUGACCGAGACUAGAGUUCCAUUGGAGUAGAGGAAGGCACACGCACGUCUCCUUUCCACUCUGCACCGUGCACCAACUGAGCGGUGUGCUGCACUCACGGUCUUUUUCGGGGAUCUGCUGCGUAACGAGAGGUUUCGGCAGGAACCACAGAUGUAUUCUCGGAAUACAGUCGGGAGAAAAUGGUGAUGGUAGAAUAUUCUGAUGGCGCGAUAUAGCCCUUGAAAAGCUGAAACCUGGGUAGGUGGCAGGGAUGGAUGACUCAAAAACUUUUCUUCCCGAUUGAAUGAAAAUAAAAAGUGUGGAUGCUGCUGCUGAACCGAAAGAAAAGAAAGAAGAAACGUUAAAAAAGUGCUCCCCUCUAAAUGCCGGAAAACCUAAGUAAUAAAGAUG